rnacentral:rRNA from 1 species
GCUGUGAGUGCUUCCGAUGCAGUCGAACGGAAAGGCCGCUUGCGGGUCUCGAGUGGCGAACGGGUGAGUAACACGUGGGUAACCUGCCCCCAUCUCUGGGAUAACCGUUGGAAACGGCGGCUAAUACCGGAUACGACCUUGAUCCGCAUGGUUCGAGGUGGAAAGUUUUUGCGGUUGGGGAGGGACCCGCGGCCUAUCAGCUUGUUGGUGCGGUAGUGGCGCACCAAGGCUUUGACGGGUAGCCGGCCUGAGAGGGCGGUCGGUCAUAUUGGGACUGAGAUACGGCCCAGACUCCUACGGGAGGCAGCAGUGGGGAAUUUUGCACAAUGGGCGCAAGCCUGAUGCAGCGACGCCGCGUGAGGGAUGACGGCUUUCGGGUUGUAAACCUCUUUUAUCCACCACGAAGGCGGUGUAUUCGCACCGUUGACGGUAGUGGUUGAAUAAGCGCCGGCUAACUACGUGCCAGCAGCCGCGGUAAGACGUAGGGCGCGAGCGUUGUCCGGAUUUAUUGGGCGUAAAGGGCUCGUAGGCGGUUGAUUGCGUCCGCCGUGAAAGGCCUCGGCUUAACCGGGGUUUUGCGGUGGAUACGGGUCGACUUGAGGCAAUUAGGGGAGAUCGGAAUUCUACGUGUAGCGGUGAAAUGCGUAGA